CUUCUUCAGAUGAGGUGGGUCUUUCAGUGGAGGUACUUCACUGUUAUGAAAGAGUUCAUCUGCAAAGGCCAUCAUGGCAGAAGUAUCUUCCCCACAGUUGUCUUUGUUCUUCAUCAUCUUCUUCU